GCCCCACAUAUUAUGUGUAAUAUAGUGAUGGUGUUUAUGCUCAUCUGGAGUUCAUUUUUCAAUUUAAUUAGCUUGCUUUUGACGUUAAAUAACGUUCCUGUGGUAAAUAGUACAGUAGUUGACAAGUUGUUUACAUCAUUGCCUGUUUAAAAUACAGAUUGGUCGAUAGCAUGAACGUUGAGGUAAUAGAGCACCGUACUUUAAUGAACAUCAGAGGCUAUAAUGUGAAAUAUAAUGUUUUAAUCUUGCUGUCAUUUGCAGUAAAGUGGGCAGGUGAUCGGACCUUUGGAGAUUUGUCAUAUUACAUCAAAGAGCAUCAAACAAUGGACAAAGAAACUAAAGCCUCUGGAAUAGCUGUCCAGAACAACAAAACAUGAAGGGUGUUCCUCACCUGUAUGCGUGUCACAUCUGGCACUUGAUGUGCAAACAGCUGUGGAGCAUCUGGUGCCCGGUUCUGCCGAUAUGUUUUGGCUUUUUCUCUUGAUGGCGAGAUCUGUAACAUGCAGACUUCUGCAGCGGGACAGCUGUGGAAGAUCUCCAAAAGAACAUGAGAUUUUCAGACCUAGCAACAGUAACCAAGGCGGGCGGAGCUAGGAGUAGCUUCAAUUAACGGCUUCAUUAUCAUCAGACUGCUCUCCUCCAAGCUGAACUGAAGACAGGCUAAACCAGCUCUUAUCUGCCACCACUGCUCUUAACUUGCUUCAGAAGGGGGGGGGAGCAGAGUCGGGAAGAAAAGCAAAAUGAAAAAUGAAGCCCUUUUGCAUAAAACGGCAAGUUAUAGAAAUCUAAAACGGUUGCCGUGCAACUCUAAAUAAUCACCAUGCUUUCGGAGAUGAAUAUUUUACCAUAAUUUAGAGCUCUGGAAGUAAUCGCCAGUCUUAGAGAGUGAGGGUCUCCUCGGGGGGCUUGUUUCAGUCUGGUUUGUCUCACGUAGUGGACGGAAAAGAUUGAGAAACCCAAGCUCUGUUCUCUUGAAGGUGAGGAUCAGCUAAUACCCCCUCUUCUGUUUUUAAGGAGCAAAAAAACACAUGUUGUGUCAGAAUAUAUUUCGCUAACUAGCGUACAGACACACUGUCAUGUGUCACAGCGGUCCUUGAGGGCACGAACAAAGGCAAACAAAACUUGACAACUCGAAAACAUUAAGACGCAUGUUCUCGCAUCAUAUUCUGUUUAGAAUCCAAGAACGUUAUCUUAUGGUACAGAUGUUAACACAUUUCAAAACGAUACGUUUCACUUGGUACAGAAAUAUAGACUUGGUUAUUUGGUUUAUUUUCACCGUACGGGGGGGGAGGGCUUCAUCUCUCAGCAUUUGCAUUCCUUUAAACAUCCUCGUUUAACUCCCUUGGUAAUCACAGACUGCUAGCUGAGAUCCGAGCCCCGUUGACGGCUGUGGCGAGAUAGUGUAAAAAAAGUCUCAUUUGCAAAGGCUGGUGAAGUUGUGUGCUUUAAACUUUCCACUCAUCUUCUCUCUUAAUCACUCUCUCGAUCACUUUCUCUGCUUAUAAAAUCUCCAUUAGCAUAUUCUUCGUCUCAAGUUCAUAAAGAACCGCGUGGCCUAUGGACCGGCAAUGCAGAAUGCUGCCCAUUUAAUGAGCGACGCUCGGCAUCUCUGAUAUCAGCCUGAAAGUAUGCGCGCGACAUCGUAUUGAGCGCUUUCCUCAUAUGGCAUGUUCAAAACACACGCACAAAGAGUUUCAUUAUUUGAAAAGAUGAAUGAAAGGAAGAAGAAAGAAAUGUUUUGGCACUUCUGAAUUGAUUGUGCAGAAUAGGCUGUUCAGACGACAUUGUGACAGGUUCUCUCUCUUUUCGUGGCGGUUUGCUGAUACGGGGGCCUGAGAGAUGUGCCGGGCUCCUUUUAACUGCAAACACAGAUUCUGUUUGAAUGCAGUAUGAUAGCGCAGGCAUGGAGUGUUGUGGCUUCCGUCGGCUACCCUCGUCGCCGGCCUCUUUUUGAUGGUGUUUAUGUGAUGCACGUAGCAAGACACCGCUCGGGGGGGAGGCUUGUGUGGACCCUUUCUGUCUCGCAAAAAUGAACAGAAAGAACAACGCCUGCGUGUUACCUUGUUGCACUUAUUACUUUCCUGAGGUUAAUAAUAGAAGUCAUAUCAAAAUCAUAUUUUAUAUUAUCGUGAAUUAGACAGGAAUGCUUUAAAUAUAGGUAUUUAAUUGCAACGGACGAUACACAAAAUUGUACCACGUUACAGGAAAGAAGAAAAAUCAUGCACUUUAUAAACAAUUCCAGUCCUGAUGAGUGUGUAACAACAACAUAAACAAGCGUUACUUCACAUGCACACUUUUCUGGCCCAAACUUAACUUCCGGUACAAGAAUAGAGUACCUGUAGAUUAUUUCUGAAAACAAGCAAAAGAAAUAUCAAGUAAAUAAAUUUAGCUAGCCAGUGUUCAUUUGGGUUACCAGUAGAAGAACCGUUACUUGGCUAACAAAGUUACACGACCCAUUCAACAAAUUGCUUAUUUAAAAAAAAAUCAACAAAUUGUGUAUUAAAUACAAUUAUUACACAAUAAAAUAUGAAUAUAAUUGAAAUAUAAUAUAACAUAAAUAUUAUUGCACUAGCCAGACCGAUAAACAAACACAGACUUUAACAAAAGUUUACUUCGGGCCAGGUGCUUGCAUCCGAUGAAAUCGUCUAUAACAUACUGUAUGAGGUAAGCGCGCAUGUAUAUUGCUUAUCAUGUACUUUCCAUGAAAAAGUAAAAAAAGCCAUAGUUGAAUUACUCAAGAGUUUUCGAAACUUCAAAACUCAAGAGAGAAAUGCUAAAUCAUAAAGCUUUUUAGGACCAUCAAAAUGAAUUCUCAUUAAUGAUAAAUAUUCUCAUUCUCACCACUAUAAUAAAACAUAAUAUAGGCUAUUAUUACAUAGUGUAAUAGUGUGACAUAGUGUGUAGACAUAGUGUGAGAGAAAAAGGUUUUAGUAUAGUAUGUCAAACAGAAUAAAAAUGUCAUCCAUUUGUUUAUGUGAUAUAUUAUAUAAAGGCCUGCAUUAUGAAUGUGAACGACAACCAGAGCUCUAUUGACAUUGCACUGAAUCGGCUCCCCGGGGUUUAGUUUGGAUAAAGUGAAGAUCUGAUAAUUGUGAGACUGACGACGUGAAGGGUCUGAAAGAGAGCGAACGAGAGAAGAUGAGAAAAGAGGCAGGGCGACGUUCUGAUCGAGUGAAUGAUAGAGCUCUCCAGACGAACUUAAGAGAAAAGAACUAUAGCGCAGACGUGGAAAUGAAGCAGAUGAAGGGAACGCUCACAGCUGUCUCGCAGCAGAAGGAAACAGCGCUCUCCUGAUGUUCCAGGUGCAGAACCCCUCCCCUUCUCUUCUCGGUCUCUCUCUCAUUCUUUUUCUCUCUCUGAAGGUUGCGUGGCUCGAACGCCCUCAGUAAAUGUCAGAACAAGCUGCUGCUCUUCCCAGACCACGCAGUGGGAGAACCACCAACCUCAUCGCCUUGGCAACCCCUUGUCUCUCGUCCGAAAGAAGAAAGGGCGAGGAGGUGGAGAAGAAAAGGGCUUUUAUGCUUCCGUCCCCCCUGCGCGCACACACACACUAACAUGCCCGUCAUGCCCCCACCCACCCGAGAGACCUCUCUGAGACCUGGAACAUGUGGGUGAGCUCCCAGGCUUUCUGAAAAGAGUGCUUACAAAAAUAAGAAAGUGUUAGUGAUGUAACUAGAUUUACUGAUUUCAUUACCAUCAGGCCUUUUCACUUUUUUUGUUUCUUGGUUAAGAUUCGCUGUUUAUUUACCAAUUUACAGAGAAGGGAAUUGCUUUUUAUGAAGACGAGUUUGUAAACCAUCGCUAAAUUAGGUCGUAAUGAAAAAACUCAGAUGUGGUAUAUUUUAUCGUCAUAAAAUUGGACACCAUAUCAGGUUACCAAGGAUACGUCAGAGAGGGCGAGAGCAUCUUUUAUCAAGAAUGUCACUUGUAGAUUUACAAAAGAAAAUAGAAAGUGUUUUAAAUGUAAGAAGACAGAGAGGGGAAGAGAACGAUUAUUACACAGUAUAUGCGAAUGAAACCGUAAAUGAAAGGCAAGUAUACAUGAAAUCAUUAUUAUUUGUGUUUACAUUUAAACCAAUGGGAGAUUCUGUCACCUAAACCCGUACGCGUUUCUUUCUUCUGCAGAACACAAAAGAAGACAUUUUAAGAAAUGUAAUGUAAGUGAACGGGGGCCAAUGUUUUUGGUUACCAACAUUCUUUAAAAUAUAUUCUUUUGUGUUUGGAAUGACAUGAGGGUAAACAAAUAAACAAAGAAUCUUCAUUUUUCAUUGAGCCAUCUCUUUAAAGUGGCUGAACAGGUUGUCCUGACCCCGAGUCAAUAUGCUCAGGCGAACAAUAUUAAAAGUGGCACAUAGCCUCCGUGUGUAGUGUUCAGGAAUAUCAAGCUGCGAAUUGCUUCGUUCUCUUUGCACAUUACACUGGCAAAGAAAGAAACAUCUUUCCCAAAGUAUAACAUUAAUAAAAAUGCACUGCACGCCUGAGAUGCCGAGAUGAUCUACUGUAUAAAACCAACUUGAAAUGGAAUCUAUCUCUCAAAAAGAACAAGAGCUUCAGUUUUGGACACGCAUGAUGCCUUUAAAUCUAUAAUAUUUUCCUCCACUGCGUGAGCUCCGUAUUCUCCGUGCAAAGGAAGCUUUGUGUGUCAUCAGACCACAUGGGGCCAUUUUGUUGGAUGGUACUUUGAGACUGCAGGUGCUCUUUCCAUAAUGGCUGCUGGGACUGCAUUUCUUCCUCAAAAGUGCCCUGUCUGUCUCUCCCGGACUCCCUCUCCCUGUGCGCCACCUCUUACUGCGUCUCUGCAGCUGAGCUCGUACCUCUUGAAAGCUGUUGUUUGUGCGGUCUUUUCCGAGAAAGAGAGAGAGAGAUGGGGUGGGUGUGUGUCUGGUUUUAUGGCGAUGUUCCAUCAGGUCGCUGUGGUGACAGCAUUUAGCAGAGCUCCCCGGGGAGAGAGAGAGGACGGUAAAACGAAAGAGCGGGACGGUGAAUAAGUCCAGAAACAUACUUUACGCAAGUAUUUAAAUGCAGAUGAGAAUUGUUGGCCGGCACAUUGCGAGCGCGGCCCCGUUGAGCUUACUGGAGGUAAAAAGCCUCAUUUAAGAGUGCGAUGGAGUUGCCGUCAAUCGUGUUGUGGUGUUAUUUAGGCCGUUAGUUAAAAAGGUGUCCACUUUUAACUCGCUCAGCAAGAUUUUCUUUGAAUUGUUGCUCUGAAAGAACUGUCAACAGCUCCAUUUUGUGAUUAUUUGCAUUGCUUUAUGAAUUGCUGUCUGACACGUGUUGGAAUAAAGCAAUACACAGAAAUAAGUUUGAGGCAGUGUUACAUUUAAGAUGACUUAAACAAAUUUUUUAAUUGGAUCAACUUAAGUAAUAACGUCUGUAAAAUAACAUUUAUUGGGCGGAAACUUAGUUUCUACAAAGAUAAAAGCUAUUAACAAGACCACAUGGAUUAACAAGACUCCCCAUCCACUGCCAUUACAAUGAAUGGGGAGAAAUUCAUCGCUUAAGCUUAGCAAACCAAAGUUAUGGUACAGUUUACGUGAGGUUUAAUUAUUGAUCGGAAGUGUUCUCUUUAAUUCUGAUUUCUGCCAACGAUUUUAGAAAUAUAUGCCUGUUGUCGUAAAUAGCUGCCUGGAGGCGUUGCAAACAUGGCCGCCGAGUGGCACGACUUCCGUGAACAGACUUUGUUUUCUAGCAGCUUUAAUAAUAGAGAAAAUGCUUUUUUCUCGUUGUUCGCUAAAGAUGUUGUCUUUUUUAAACUCUUCAUGUUUUAACUGUUUGUCAUUGCUUUUAAUUGCUCUUAUUUGUUCAGCAUUUGGUCAACAAGUGCUGUUUUUAAUGUGCUAUAAAAAUGUAAUUUCUGACUGAAAGGUCAUGCUUUAUUUUGCUCUUAAUUCAUCUAACCAAAUAAGCCCAAUGUCCGCAUGAAAACCAUGAAAAAAUACGCAAGUUAAAAGAAAACGUUAACCAUUUCUGUUCGGCUUAUGUCUUAACCCGAUUUAAUGGGAAUUUGUAACUAUUCUAUUAGGUGGCUAAUUCGUAUGAAUUUGUACAAUGUGAAUCGUGCAAAAACAUAUGAUUAUUACAAAAAGCAAUACUUGAAGGGAUAGUUCACCCAAAAAUGAAAAUUCUCUCAUCAUUUACUUAGCAGCUUGUCGUUUCGAACCUGUAUGACUUUCUUUCUUCCGCAGAACACAAAAGAAGAUAUUUUGACGAAAGUGGGUAACCGAACAGAGCUGUCACCCAUUCACUUCUAUUGCACGGGCACAAAACCAAUGCAAGUCAAUGGGUGCCGGUCAACAACAUUCUUUUAAUUUUCACUUUAAGCCCCUCCCCUAAUGCCACCCCUAAACCUCACGUCACUGGUGCAAAAGCAAAUCGUGCUAAAACAUACUUAUAAGAUCGUACGAAUUCAUACGAAUUAGCCACCUUUCAUAAAAAUUACGAAUUCCCGUGAGAUCGUGUCGUAUGUCUUGUUAUUGAUUUAGCAAAUUGCAGACUAUGCUUCGUCUCAAUUGUAAAAUCUCUUUUACAAAAGCAAAAACCAGUUCAGAACCACUGUUUCACACCUAACAGGGACCGUAAGAUGUAAAAUGAUUCUGUUAGUGUUGCAGUCGGUCAGGUCUUAAAGAGCCAUCUGGUUGCAAGUUAAAGACUAUAGUUAACACUGUCAAGAAGUCCACGAGACACUCUCGCUCUCCCUCCAUCGCUCUUUCCUUUUAUUCCUUUCACACAACUGGUGUAAUUGUCCCUCAAACAGAAUAUUCUCAUCGCUCUCUCUCUCUCUCUGUUCCGCGUUGGUCUGUUCUUUCGCACAUGUUUUUAAUGUUUCCACUGACAGCUCAACAAUAUAUCUUAUUUCGUUCUCCUUAUCUUUGUCAUUCAUUCUGGCUGUCUCUUGCUUUCUAUUCCAUAGUUUCAAACUCUCAAUCUCUCGCUUUCUCUCUGUCCUCAACGUAGCAAUUUCCUUUAAGUCACUCUUAACAAUGCUUCCACUCUCUCUCCCUUUCAAAAUGACAUACAGCCUAUCCAGCACAUGUCUUUUUCACUCUAUAUAUUAGAAGCUCUCUCUAUGUUAACUGCCGUGAUGUUAUGUGAGUUUAGGAGUUUUUAGUCUCGGUUCUUGGGAGACACGUGUGCUUUUUAUUGGGUGACUCCUCAACGACACAACCCUGGGGUCAGGGAAACAAUAUUUUUCAUAUCUUGGGGAUUUUUGAGUUGUACGUUUGGCCACCCCUGAAUCCACUGAGGCCAUAUGAACUUGAAUAAAAGUUCGUAUGUGUUUGAAAUGUGUGUUGCAAGCACAUAACAGGCUUAAGAUUUUGACCUGAUGGGUUUGACUUGGACUGGUAAGCAACCAAGUUUUGCAACUCAUAAUUCGUCGCAAAAUUGACAAAUCUAUUCUUUCUAUGUCUUGUGUCAAUGUUAGUAUGUGUGAGGCGUCGUCCAUAUGUGGGUUUUUAAUAUGUGUGUGUGUCUAAAUUUGUUCCUUUCUGCUUCAGUGCCUUGACCAGGCGGCAGUGACCUGUGCCGUCUAGCUUCCGCAUAACCUCAGGUCUUUAGGGAGAUCCUUACCUUUCAUGUGCCCUUCCACCAAUGUCACAGCAAAUACUACUCUAGGAGAACAGAAAGAUUUUUCACCCUGCCUUACCCCAUCACCGGUGACAUGCGCUGAAGUUUGUGCUGCUCUUGACAGACCGGAGAACUUUGAGGACAUCCUGACCUUUCCUUGAGGGUGGAAUCACAGGGACGAGGCAGGAGAAGGAAAGCCCAGCUGACAGCCAUAGAGAAAGAGUCCAGAGCCCCCCAGCCGUCAGUGGAGACAUCACCAUCUGGAGCGAGGCCUUCACAACAUGCUGGGCCUGUCAAAAAGACGAAGCUCUUUUCACAGCAUACUUUUGUCCAUCCUCUCUCUCCUCCGGUGGAGCUCUCACUAUCCUGCAGAGCUUUCACAGUUCUCCUCUCCACAAAGCCCUCCCACCGCACGGAUUGUUCCGUUCGUCGGCAGGAGGGAGGAACCGGAUGGACAUCACUCAUCCGGGAUUCUACAGAAAAGUUAACCAGUAGAAUGGGUAGAUUUACACUAAUCCUUUGAUGGUUAUCGACAUUCUUUUGGUGUUAAAUCGGGGUGAAUGCUGAAUAAUGAGCUGUCAUUGACUUUGUCCAAUAUCAAAAGUGUUUACGUCUGGUGUUAAAUAUCAAUGAGUUUUGAACGUAAUUUGAACAUUUGUGUUUUUGGUAGCUUGACAGUUUUAUUAUUAGAUUGUCAUUUCACAGUAGCUUUCAUAUUCCUUACGAAAUAAAAAUAUAUGGGAAUAUGUUCGAAAAUAAAAUGCAAUAUUUUA